AAUCCAACUACAUGCCACAACCAAAAAUAGUUUUUCCGAAUUCAAUUACAUGCCACUUGUCAUCUAAUUAAGAAGCCAGAUGGUGUACAAUUGAAGCCCUUACGAAAGACUUUUAAUAUACCAGGACAGAUAACUCGGAGGCAUAGCUGAGCAGGCCUCAGUAGCACAAAUCAAAUCAUUGCCGGACAUAUGAAUGCGUAGUUGGCGGACGCGCGUGAACCAAAUCGUUGCUGAUAAUCUAGAAUGUACCAAAGUGGGCACAUUGUCCCAUAAUACAAACAAGACAGAGUUCACGGGCACCACAUAGCCUAAGCUCACGAGACAACCUUCAAUCAUAUAUUGUUGCAUGCUAAAAAUUCACAGCCACCAAUCACAUUUCUUACACCAACUCACACACUAUAAAGGCAAAAGAAGAAAAGAAUGAAC
rnacentral:lncRNA from 1 species